UAGGGAAUCUUCCGCAAUGGACGCAAGUCUGACGGAGCAACGCCGCGUGAGUGAAGAAGGAUUUCGGUUCGUAAAACUCUGUUGUUAGAGAAGAACAGCGCAUAGAGUAACUGUUAUGCGUGUGACGGUAUCUAACCAGAAAGCUACGGCUAACUACGUGCCAGCAGCCGCGGUAAUACGUAGGUGGCAAGCGUUGUCCGGAUUUAUUGGGCGUAAAGCGAGCGCAGGCGGUCAAUUAAGUCUGAUGUGAAAGCCCCCGACUCAACCGGGGAGGGUUAUUGGAAACUGGUUGACUUGAGUGCAGAAGAGGAGAGUGGAAUUCCAUGUGUAGCGGUGAAAUGCGUAGAUAUAUGGAGGAACACCAGUAGAGAAGGCGACUCUCUGGUCUGUAACUGACGCUGAGGCUCGAAAGCGUGGGUAGCAAACAGG
rnacentral:rRNA from 1 species